GUGUGGGGUCUGGGGGGCUUGCCAGGGAGUGGGGCUGAGUUUGGGCUCCUGGGGACUCUCAUCCCCACCCCUUGGUCUCCCAGGGAGCGGCCUG